GCCCUUGUAGCUCAGUGGUAGAGCACUUCCAUGGUAAGGAAGGGGUCACCGGUUCAAUCCCGGUCAAGGGCU
rnacentral:tRNA from 1 species